rnacentral:rRNA from 1 species
CUACGGGGGGCAGCAGUGAGGAAUAUUGCACAAUGGGGGAAACCCUGAUGCAGCAACGCCGCGUGGAGGAUGACGCAUUUCGGUGUGUAAACUCCUUUUAUGAGUCAAGAAAAUGACGGUAGCUCAUGAAUAAGCACCGGCUAACUCCGUGCCAGCAGCCGCGGUAAUACGGAGGGUGCAAGCGUUACUCGGAAUCACUGGGCGUAAAGGACGCGUAGGCGGGAUGUCAAGUCAGGUGUGAAAUCCUAUGGCUCAACCAUAGAACUGCACUUGAAACUGGCAACCUAGAGUAUGGGAGGGGGAGAUGGAAUUAGUGGUGUAGGGGUAAAAUCCGUAGAUAUCACUAGGAAUACCGAAAGCGAAGGCGAUCUCCUGGAACAUUACUGACGCUAAGGCGUGAAAGCGUGGGGAGCAAACAGGAUUAGAUACCCUUGUAGUC